AGACACUCUUCUAGGGCAAGACUUGCUUCAGUGGGCUUUGGUGCUCACUGAGUCUGCCCCCUGAGUGUGUCCCU
rnacentral:pre_miRNA from 1 species